ensembl:snRNA U6 U6 spliceosomal RNA
GUGUUCACUUCGGCAGCACAUACACUAAAAUUAGAAUGAUACAGAGAACAUUAGCAUGGCUCCUGCACAAGGAUGACGUGUUUAAAAAAUUUUUUUUU